GUUGGAUGGAUGGAUGAAGGAUGGAUGUCAUGUUUUUCUACAAGAAAUGUUCUCUCUCUCUCUCCAUCAAGAAGACAAUUCAACAGAAGCUGUGAUGUCAUCAGUUUUCAUCCGAACAGUGAUGACAUCACAGUUUUAAGGGGGAAAUCAUGUUUUAUUAAAACAGAAGUAAUGAACUCAAACACAGAUGAAAAUAUGCUGAUGAUAUCUAAAAGAGGUCAAUCAUUUUAGCUGCAGGUUCCAGGACUAAGAGAACUUGAUCAAUCUGUGACACAUGAAUCAUGAACAGCUUUUGGGUAUUGAUUAUUAUUUGGGGUCGUUGAUUCAGCUGAGCUCAACUCAUGACAUCACAAUUAAUCUGUUAAUGAUCACUUUUAUCGCCUGAAGAGCAUUUCUCAGUCUGGGAACUGAAAGUACAAAGACUGAACCACCAGGAAAAUGGAACAGCAGCAACGACUAAAUAUGUGUACAAUUACAGGUGAGUCACAUCCUGAGUAUGAAAGUUAGUGGUCUCCACCAUGAGCCAAGCAGGACCAAUUACAGGAGCUAAAGGAGCUAAAGGAGCUAAACUAGCUAACGGAGCUAACAGAACUUUCUUUGAUUAAAGGGGAAUAAAGUACAAAGUUUUACAAAAUGAUAAGUAAUAAUAAACCUAAAGAGAGAAAAGAAACAAGAGGAGCUGAAAGAACUGUAUCAACAAGAGUUCAAAGGUUGCAGAAGGGCAACUGUUGCUGGGCAACAAGGCAAUUGCAAUUCUGAAGCAGGAGCCAGUUUGGAGAAGCGGUCCAGAACCCGAUGAAUGGAAACUGUUUGGGUUUCUGAGGGGGAUCAUCAGAAUCCAUCUUCCAUCAAACAGCCUGCAUAUGAGAACCGCUGCUGGUAGAACCGGGUCGGGUUCUGCUGGAAGGUGAGCUGUCAGCAGGAAACAGGGAGACGUGGUGAGGUGGCAGAGAGCGGCAGCCAGACGAGCCCAGAAUAACUCGGGCCGGUCCAGGUUCAGGUUUAGACUAGGCCGCCCUGUAAUCAGCCGCCGCCGCCGCUCUCUCAUUUCCCUCAUAGAAACCAGGCGAGGGUCUCCGCCCGCAGGCCGCCUCACGGGGUUCCUCUGUCCUUAGCCCCCGUCUCCCUCUUUCCCUGUUUCCUUCCCUGUUUGAGCAGUUUGUGAGUUUUUCUGGAGAUUUAAAUCAGAUUUCAGAUGGGAGGUUCAGUUGUGACAGUGGGGGUUUCCUGGUCCCCCCCUCAGUCAAUGUUUGCUGCUCUGUAUCUUGCUAAGUUGGUGCGAACAUGACCUGCCGCUGCCUGCAGCGCAGCAGUUUCCAUCCAGCACAUCUGGAGCGGCUGGCGGUUAAAUCUGGAGCGAGUUUAUGAGGGCGAAGCCGCAGAGCUGCCGCUCCGCCUACAGUUGCUCUGAUAUCCACACAUCUGCUUCUGUCUCAGUGUGUUUAUGUGACGCCGCUGCUGAGACGGGAGGCCGCUGACUCUGCUGCAACAGCAAAACCAAAACAGGAGCGACAGAAAGUAGGAACCUGCUCUGGGUUGAUGAGUUGCUGUUGGUGUCUGUCUCAGAGAUCGGAGCUCUGAGACCUCCAGGUGUCCUAGCUCCCCCUAGUGAACCCUAGUGCCAUCUGGCGCCCCCUAGUGCCCCUAACAGUUUUUAGCGCUGCGUUGAGCCCCUCUAGCGCCCCCGGGGGGCCAGUGCUGCGCUGCAUGACCUCCGACGGGACUGACCUUGCUUGCGAUGGCCGUCAGGCGUGGUGCAGAGCCGGUUGCUAUGGUUACUGCUGUGACCUGAUUGUUAGAAAAAAACAAUGAGGGGAAACUUCAAAGAGGGCUGCUCAGUUGCCUAGCAACAAGGCAGGCCUGCUCCCCCACCAUGCUUCCCUGGUUUCAUCACUCCAUCCUGCCUCUCAUCUCUGCGUUUAUCCCGACCAUCAGAACCUUUCAGUACCAAGUGGACCGACCCGUUCAGCACAUCUCACCGUGCUGACGGUUCCUUCCUUGCCUUCUUCCACUGGUUCUGGUUCUGGUUCCAGAUUAGAACCUCCUCGUUUUCCUGUCUAUUCAGCAGCUGAUCCAGAGCUUCAGGGAAGGGCCUGACCUCUGACCCCCGCUCUGUUAGCCACUGUGUUAGCUGCAUGGUUAGUGGCUCUUUUAGCCUGUUAGCCGCUCUGUUAGCCACUGUGUUAGCUGCUCGGUUAGUGGCUCUUUUAGCCUGUUAGCUACUCUGUUAGCUACUGUGUUAGCUGCUUGUUUAGUGGCUGUUUUAGCCUGUUAUUCGCUCUUUUAGCCUGUUAGCCAUUCUGUUAGCUACUGUGUUAGCUGCUCGGUUAGUGGCUCUUUUAGCCUGUUAGCCAUUCUGUUAGCUACUGUGUUAGCUGCUCGGUUAGUGGCUCUUUUAGCCUGUUAGCCGCUCUGUUAGCUACUGUGUUAGCUGCUUGGUUGGUGGCUCUUUUAGCUUGUUAGCCGCUCUUUUAGCCUGUUAGCCGCUCUGUUAGUUACUGUGUUAGCUGGUUGGUUAGUGGCUCUUUUAGCCUGUUAGCUGCUGUUUUAGCCUGUUAGCCGCUGUUUUAGCCUGUUAGCCGCUCUGUUACCCACUGUGUUAGCUGCUCGGUUAGUGGCUCUUUUAGCCUGUUAGCUACUCUGUUAGCUACUGUGUUAGCUGCUUGUUUUGUGGCUGUUUUAGCCUGUUAUUCGCUCUUUUAGCCUGUUAGCCAUUCUGUUAGCUACUGUGUUAGCUGCUCGGUUAGUGGCUCUUUUAGCCUGUUGGCUACUCUGUUAGCUACUGUGUUAGCUGCUUGUUUUGUGGCUGUUUUAGCCUGUUAUUCGCUCUUUUAGCCUGUUAGCCGCUUUUUAGGUUUGUUAACCGCUCUGCUAGCUACUCUGUUAGCUGCUCGGUUAGUGGCUCUUUUGGCCUGUUAGCCGCUAUGUUAGCUACUGUGUUAGCUGCUCGGUUAGUGGCUCUUUUGGCCUGUUAGCCGCUAUGUUAGCUACUGUGUUAGCUGCUCGGUUAGUGGCUUUUGGAUGGAAUGAUUCAAUUUAUUACCUGAUUAUCUCUCCUGUUUGUUACACAUUUAUGAGGACAUGACAUCACAUUAGUUUCAGAUUUUCAUCAUGGAUCAAACUUUUUUCAGAAAUGUAAUCUCUGAUUCUGGACUCAGAUUUCCAAAAAUAUUUCAUGAUUUACAUCUCUCUUUUAUGCACACGCAAAACUCUGGUUCUUCUCUCCGGUUUCCGGUCCUACACUUCAUGCUUCUUUGCUUCCACCUGGUGGCCAGCUGAGGAACUGCGUGACUCACCUGCAGAAACCAGGCCCAAUAGUUCCACACACACCUGUGAGAUGAGCUCUGCUUUACCUGGGAGACCGCAUGGAGACACUUCCAUCCAUGGACUGCAACCGGACCAGAACCUCAGUCCUGGUCCUGGAGGGAACCGUCAAACAGUACGAGGACUGCAGGUCCGUGGAACCGACUGGGUCUGAGGUUCUGGGUGCUGGACCGGACGUCUACCUGGUUCCUGGGUUGGACCUGGGCGUGACCACGGAGGAGUAGGACAGUUCUGAUGUGGUCCGGUGCGGCUGCUUGGCCUUGUUGACCACAGCGUAGGUGUCAUUCAUGGCGGAUGAACUGUGGACAGACAGAAGACGGGUCAGAGACAAACUGACCGGGACAAAGACAGACUGGUGCCUUAGAGCUCCAACAUCAGGACAUAAACGCAGCAAAAAUGUUCUUUAGUUAGAGGAUCCGGGUUCAAUCACUGGUUCUGAAACUGACUUCAGUACCAUAAACUCCAGAAUAUAUUCAACCUGGAUCCACCAGCCAGUAACCAGUAACCAGUAACCGGUAACCGGUAACCAUCAUGGAGGAUCUGAUGGUUCAUCGUCUUCUGAUCAGAGAAUCUCCACCAGCUGAAUAUUUACGUUUCUACAGGAAGUUCAUCUGCUCUCCACUUCCUCAUCCAGCUGUGUGGUCGUCAUGGUUACGCUAAAUUUCCUCUUAAGGAAGACCUGCCUAAUUCCCUUUCUCCUCUCCAGCGCUCCUCGAUUCCUAACUCCAUCUUUUAUUUACCUUCCUCCUCCUCCUCCUCCUGUGCCUGGUUGCCACGGUAACAUGGCAACAUAUGGAGAUGGUGGGAUGGCGACGAACAGAGGAGUGGACCAGGACAGGAGAGCGUUCGGCUCCCUGGCUGCUCCUGGCUCGGUCCAGCAGGUCCAGAAUCCCGGUUGUCUCAUAGGGGACGUCGUGGUCCGGCCAGGACAGGUACUGGAACUGGACCAGCGAGUGGACGUCCUGCGGGAGAGGAAGAGGAGCGAGGAAGGUGUGACCUGAGCCGGGGGCCAGCAAGGUGAGCGCCUACCUGCUGGUAGCAGACCACCAGGGUUCGCACCACGACGUCCUGGUUGGGCCGCGACUCCACCUGCUGGACGUUCAGAGGAAUAACACGUCAAAUUCGGCCAGCAGGACGCGGAGGACGGAGAGGACCGGGCCGUUACCGUGGUGACGGUGAAAGGUCCAAACGCCGCAGACUGAUGAGGAGCUGCCCAGUAGCACUCACAUUUCCUCUGCAGAACCAGAACCAAACCUCUCUGUCUCAUGUUUUAUACACAUCAGCCGUAAAUGUCUCAACAGG